UACGUAGGCAGCGAGCGUUGUUCGGAGUUACUGGGCGUAAAGAGUGCGUAGGCGGUUUUCUAAGUUUGGUGUGAAAUCUCCCGGCUUAACUGGGAGGGUGCGCCGAAAACUGGAAGGCUUGAGUAUGGGAGAGGUAAGCGGAAUUCCUGGUGUAGCGGUGAAAUGCGUAGAUAUCUGGAGGAAUACCGGUGGCGAAGGCGGCAUCCUGGACCGACAUUGACGCUGAGGAGCGAAAGCUAGGGGAGCAAACGGG
rnacentral:rRNA from 1 species